rnacentral:rRNA from 1 species
GAUGAACGCUAGCGGGAGGCCUAACACAUGCAAGCCGAGCGGUAUUGUUUCUUCGGAAAUGAGAGAGCGGCGUACGGGUGCGGAACACGUGUGCAACCUGCCUUCAUCUGGGGGAUAGCCUUUCGAAAGGAAGAUUAAUACCCCAUAACAUAUUGAACGGCAUCGUUUAAUAUUGAAAGCUACGGCGGAUAGAGAUGGGCACGCGCAAGAUUAGCUAGGUGGUGAGGUAACGGCUCACCAAGGCGAUCAUCUUUAGGGGGCCUGAGAGGGUGAUCCCCCACACUGGUACUGAGACACGGACCAGACUGCUACGGGAGGCAGCAGUGAGGAAUAUUGGUCAAUGGGUGCAAGCCUGAACCAGCCAUCCCGCGUGAAGGAGGACUGCCCUAUGGGUUGUAAACUUCUUUUGUAUAGGGAUAAACCUACCCUCGUGAGGGUAGCUGAAGGUACUAUACGAAUAAGCACCGGCUAACUCCGUGCCAGCCGCCGCUGUAAAAC